rnacentral:lncRNA from 1 species
CUCCAACCAAGUUUACCUUGAUGGAUGGUUGAAAGAUAUUCGAGCUGAGAAAGUAAAAUCUACUGAUGACUCCAACCAAGUUUAUCUUGAUGGAUGGUUGAAAGACAUCAGAUCUGAGAAAGCAAAGUCCACGCCUAACUCCAACCAAGUUUACCUUGAUGGAUGGUUGAAAGAUACCCGAUCAGAAAAAGAAAAAUCCACCUCGAACUCCAACCAAGUUUAUCUUGAUGGAUGGUUGAAAGAUGCCCGAGCUGAGAAAGUCAAAUCCACCUCUGACUCCAACCAAGUUUAUCUUGAUGGAUGGUUGAAAGAUACCCGAGCAAAGCAAACAAAAUCCACCCCUGACUCCAACCAAGUUUACCUUGAUGGAUGGUUGAAAGAUACCCGAUCUGAGAAAACAAAAUCCUCAUCUGACUCCAAACAAGUUUAUCUUGAUGGUUGGUUGAAAAAUACCCAAGUUGAGAAAAUAAAAUCUCCCUCUGACACCAAGCAAGUUUACCUUGAUGGAUGGUUGAAAGAUAUCCGAGCUGAGAAAGAAAAAUCCAUAUCUGACUCCAACCAAGUCUACCUUGAUGGAUGGUUGAAAGAUAUCCGAGCUGAGAAAGUAAAAUCUACAUCUGACUCCAACCAAGUUUACCUUGAUGGAUGGUUGAAAGAUAUUCGAGCUGAGAAAGCGAAAUCCACCCCUGAUUCCAAACAAGUUUACCUUGAUGGAUGGUUAAAAGAUACUCGAAACUAGUUCAUAUCUUUGUUUGUCAAUGUCUAUGUCAUUCAGAAAACUUAUGUUUUUAACUUCUAUGUACUGCAAGAUCUUAUUUCUAUGUACUAGGUAAGAUCUCGUUUAUGUGCUUAAUGAGCUAUUGUUACUAUGAACUAGAUGUUUGUCUUUUAAAAUAAACCUUAAUUUAAUUCGAUAAUGAUUGAGUUGGUGUCUCUUUAGUUUUUCAAACCUUAGAGGUGAAGUUAUGUUUUAUUAAUUCAACAUGUUUACUCUUAAAAUA